rnacentral:rRNA from 1 species
AGUGAACGCUGGCGGUAGGCCUAACACAUACAAGUCGAACGGCAGCACAGUAAGAGCUUGCUCUUACGGGUGGCGAGUGGCGGACGGGUGAGGAAUACAUCGGAAUCUACUUUUUCGUGGGGGAUAACGUAGGGAAACUUACGCUAAUACCGCAUACUACCUACGGGUGAAAGCAGGGGAUCUUCGGACCUUGCGCGAUUGAAUGAGCCGAUGUCGGAUUAGCUAGUUGGCGGGGUAAAGGCCCACCAAGGCGACGAUCCGUAGCUGGUCUGAGGGGAUGAUCAGCCACACUGGAACUGAGACACGGUCCAGACUCCUACGGGAGGCAGCAGUGGGGAAUAUUGGGCAAUGGGCGCAAGCCUGACCCAGCAAUGCCGCGUGGGUGAAGAAGGCCUUCGGGUUGUAAAGCCCUUUUGUUGGGAAAGAAAAGCAGCAGGUUAAUACCCCGCUGUUCUGACGGUACCCAAAGAAUAAGCACCGGCUAACUUCGUG